UACGUAGGCAGCGAGCGUUGUUCGGAGUUACUGGGCGUAAAGGGCGCGUAGGCGGUUUGUACAGUCAGGUGUGAAAUUCCCGGGCUCAACCUGGGGGCUGCACUUGAUACGUAUGGACUUGAGUGAGGAAGAGGGUCGUGGAAUUCCCAGUGUAGAGGUGAAAUUCGUAGAUAUCAGGAGGAACACCGGUGGUGUAGACGGCUUUCUGGACCGUAACUGACGCUGAGACACGAAAGCGUGGGUAGCAAACAGG
rnacentral:rRNA from 1 species